AUCGGCCGGACAGACGGUCUCCUCACAGGUGAGGUGAAUAUCUUGGUGUUGGAGCAACAUAACAUCACCUUAGACUUAGAAAUGCAUUCUGGUGUCAAACCUUCCCCAGUAGGGGCUGCUGCUGAAAAAAAUGUAUAGCCAGAUGGAUGAUUGUCUUGAAGAAAAAAGAUUAUCUCGAAGAGAUGUCCACAUCCAGAAAGUUAUUCCCAGAACUGAC